rnacentral:miRNA from 1 species
UGUGUGUGUGUCUGUCUGUAUGUAUGUGUGUGUCUGUAUGAUACAGACACAUACAUACAGAGACACACACACAGA